ensembl:processed_transcript Gas5 growth arrest specific 5
UCUGAGCAGGAAUGGCAGUGUGGACCUCUGUGAUGGGACAUCUUGUGGGAUCUCACAGCCAGUUCUGUGGCAAAGGAGGAUGAAGGCUUACGAGGACUCGUCAGGAAGCUGGAUAACAGAGCGAGCGCAAUGUAAGCAAUUUUGUGUGUGCAUGUGGUCCCAUUACAAGGAAUACCCAAUGGCAAAUGAGCACUAAAGAUCCCUCAACCCACACAUUGAAUGUAUUGUUCCCUGAGAGCAAUUGUAGAUAGAGGAGUGGGUGGGAAGUCUGAAGUCAGGGCAUUGUUUCUGCGUAUCUGAGGAGGCUGGUUUUUGAUAUGUGGGAGCUAGUGGUCGUUAACGCAUUUACCCCCUAUUUGGUGGACUCUGGUUCCCCCAUCUUAAGUGCUGAGUCAGGGGCCUAACCGGGCAGCUUUAACUAUUUGUUUGUUGUAGGUGCUAGAAUAGAAGACCAGAAAAUGAAAUGGUGGAGUUUGAGGCUGGAUAGACAGUUUGAAAGGUACAAAUAAUGGUUUGAAUAAAGAAAGGUAAGCAUUGUAAGUUUGGUAUUUACUAUAUGAAUUAAGGUACUGUUAGUGAUGAUCAAUAAAGUUAAACAGAUGGGAAUCUCUCUGAAUAAGAUUGAAGAUUGAUUGUUAAGCUGAAACAGUAUUUAAGGACAUCAGUAAAUAUACUUUACAAAUACAUAUUUCUAAACGGAGUGUAAUUUCUUACAGGUAUUAAUGGGUCACCUCAAGUGAAGGCACUGCAAACACAAUGAUUGGUCAUUCUGAAUUUCCGGUCCUUCAUUCUGAAUUUCAAAGGCUCCUGUGACAAGUGGACAUGCAGUGACUGCACCUUUGUUUCUGAGGUGCCUGGAUGGAGGCUCAAAU